CGAACGAAGUCUUCGGACUUAGUGGCAGACGGGUGAGUAACGCGUGGGAACCUACCCUUUGGUACGGAACAACAGUUGGAAACGACUGCUAAUACCGUAUGCGCCCUACGGGGGAAAGAUUUAUCGCCGAAGGAUGGGCCCGCGUUGGAUUAGCUAGUUGGUGGGGUAAAGGCCUACCAAGGCGACGAUCCAUAGCUGGUCUGAGAGGAUGAUCAGCCACACUGGGACUGAGACACGGCCCAGACUCCUACGGGAGGCAGCAGUGGGGAAUAUUGGACAAUGGGGGCAACCCUGAUCCAGCCAUGCCGCGUGAGUGAUGAAGGCCCUAGGGUUGUAAAGCUCUUUCAGCGAGGAGGAUAAUGACGUUACUCGCAGAAGAAGCCCCGGCUAACUUCGUGCCAGCAGCCGCGGUAAUACGAAGGGGGCUAGCGUUGUUCGGAAUCACUGGGCGUAAAGCGCACGUAGGCGGACUUUUAAGUCAGGGGUGAAAUCCCGGGGCUCAACCCCGGAACUGCCUUUGAUACUGGAAGUCUUGAUCCAAGAGAGGUGAGUGGAACUCCGAGUGUAGAGGUGAAAUUCGUAGAUAUUCCGGAAGAACACC
rnacentral:rRNA from 1 species